CGUUUAAUGCAGGGUUACACUAUAAAAAGAGCUUUAGAAACUUUUUAACAUCCCAGAGCGCUGGUUAUUCCAUCGUCUGAAAAUGGAAAGCGUAUGGCACUACAGCAGAUCGGACAAGAUGUGGCUAUUUAUUUAAACAGGUCAAGCAAGGAGAGUAUCAGAGAAGCAGACGCCUGUGGUAACUCUAAAGGCGCUUCAGAGAUCCACAACUCGAGUGGGAAAAAAUGCUGAAAUAACUGUUAUACAAAUCAGGCUUUUGUGAAAGAGUGGCAAGAAGAAAUAAUUAUUGAAGGACUGGAAAAAGAAAUCCCAUUUACAUAAUUUAUCUAACCCUAAACAUUAUUCUGAAAGUGGUUUCAUAAUGAGACUGUAAUCUUGAGUUAAGAGCGCCUGAACAAAAAUGCAUGGCAGACUUAAAUUAAAAGUAUUUGUAAACAAAAUAUUAUGUCUUUUAUAUUAACAAUUUAAUAUUUUGUUUUGGUCUGUCAUAAAAUCCCAAAGUUUGGAAAAAGGUGAAGGGGAAUGAAUACUUUUGCAAAGUACCGUAUCUGCAUAGGCAAAAAAACUGCGACACCCAUUCCACGUACAUAUUUUUUCCAAAGUAUGUGCAUGUUUCCUCUUUGCUCUUUGUCUCUGUGUGGCACACUGUCGGUUCUGAUGCUUUAAAAUCAUUAAAGGAUCAAAGGACCUGAGUCAUGUGAGCUUUUGAGUUCAGUGGCAAACACUGCGGUUAGAAAACAAGUCCCAACAGCGUUUGAGGUUUUGGCUGAUUUAAAAUCCACUGACCUAAAAAAGACAAACUGCCACGCCUUAAUCUCAAUUUACAGUUGGUUGUAUCCAAAGCAAACAAGGCAAGUGGAUUUUAGGAUGGGCACACUAAUUGAAGGCUUGUGUGUGUGUGCGUAUGAUUUAGUGUAAACAGCAACACUGAGCCUGUGGAUAUGUUUUGGAUAGGACCCUGAGGAGAUGUGCCAUCGUAAGAGCAGGUGCAAUGAGAAGAACGGAGAACUUCUGAAAUGAGAAAGUGAUGUGAGGAGUUUGAACCUCCCCCGGGCCUUCAAACGUGAGUGACGUCAAAGGACAUUCUUCCCAGCAACUUCCUGGCUUUCAUGGCCCGGCCUUCAUCACCAUCCGCAGCAUUCGCUUCCUGUGAGUGAGAGUGAUCCCGUUUCCCGAGUUCCAAGAAUUCUGCACCAAUGACUGCAUGACAAUAUGUAACGCAAGUUCCUGAGGAGCUGGUGUCUGUCUGCAGCAGUCAUUAGGCAGGUAGGGCAGGUUUACCACGAAUCGUCAGAGAGAUACCCAGGACAGGUAACCAUGUUCACACUCACUCAUACCUACAGGACAUUUAGAGAGACCAAUUAAUCUAACUGUAAUCUAAUUAAUCUAACUUAUUUAUAAUAGUUAGGUCCUCCACCAGGUGGCCCAGGGAAAAUAUUUGAUUCCGUAAAUAGGCUUUUGAGAAAAGCACCAACUGUGUUAGAGGUAGAAGUGUCAUAAAUAUACACAUUAAAUAUGAUGCAUUUGUCAUUGUGAUAUAGUAAACUCCCCAUUUUUUUGUAUCAGAUUUUUAUCCUGUCAGUGACCUUCCCUUCUUUGCAGUUUGAGUGCCUGCUCCUACAACCUAAAAUGGUUCCAUUUGAAUCCAUUAUUAACCUUCACACCUUGGUACUAAUUGAUAUUUGAUUGAUGUUGCGAUCACAUCUCUGCCUUGGAACAGUGUCCAGGCACUGAACCUAAACCUUGAAGAGGCAAAAGGAAACCCUCUGAUCCUCAGCUCUCACGUACGCAGGACAUACCACAGCUGUGUGGCGCAGCCAAGACAGGAGCAGUGAUUCAGAGGAACAGAUAUGCCAGGAGGAACACAACAAAGAUGAAAGAGAAAAGGGAGAAGGAAACGUAAACAGGGGGAAUGCAGUGAAGAAGCGCCACAGAGCCAAGCAGGAAAACUUCUCUCCUAUUCACCCGACUUGCUCCAUCUGUUUGGGACGC